AUGAUUCAAUUUUCUUUUUUGUUUUUUUCCCCCCCUGUAUUCAACAGUGCAACUUGUAGGUAGUGAGGUGGUUUGUUUUUUUGAAGAAAAGAUGCAGUGCAUCCUGCCUGGGUAUGUGAAAACUUUAAAGUUUGAUCAAGCUACAGCAAGGAGUAUUGCCUUCGUUCAGCCUUAACAGAAAGUCACCAGUAUUCCAACUAGGUAGAGAUAACAGCAUCUUCACAUGCGAACUUAAAGGCAGAGAAGGUACUGGAGGUCAGACUGCAUUAACUUGUAGAGAAAAUCAUUAUGGCAUCAUAGUGUUUAUAAAGUGAGUGCAGUCAUAUUUUUCUGCAAGAUCACCAUUUCUUCCUGGUGUGUUUCAGCAGGAUUAUAAUUUUGGCAGCUAAACUGGGAAAUCCAGUAGGUGACAGCAUUGAAACGAAGUCACGUGCUAUCUACCGAUACUGAAGACAGAAUGCAAAACUACUUUGCUAACAUUCUGCCUAAUUUUAUUUUUGUAUCUGGAGUAAUUGUGAAAAUUUAAUUGCUGUCAGAGCUUGAGGAAUGAGUUUUAAAGUGAUGGUUUCUGUGUUCAGACAUUAACAUGGCUUUUGUUUUUAAGUGAAGUCAGUUCAAUUGACUGCAGGGGUUUGUGUGUCCCAGUGCGUUUUAAAGCUAUCAUCCACCCUUGGAAAUACCAGUUGUAGCGGCCUUGUUAUGUACCCGCUGAGUUACCGUUGAUCGAGCACUGAAUUUAUUCUCGCCCGUGAAGUUCCGUUCCGUUCAGAGGGCUAAUGCUGCCUUACAUCGACACUACGGAAGCUCCCCACCUCCCCAGAAUAGAAGCGCUCUUGCCCAAAGUGACCCUCCUGGAGCUUUCUGUCACACUCCCACAUGAAGAGUGUUGGGGACACCUUCCAAAAUACAGAUUUGGUUCUCCGAAGCUGUGAUUCUUGGAUCUCCAGUUGUCUUUGCAAGGAAGAGAGGGCGCCUGUGAAGUAGGAGUACUACUGUAAGCAAACUGAAUCCCUGCGAAAAGCUUCGUGCCUCCUCUCUUCAGGUAAGUGUAAGCAGAGCUGCUGUUGUAACCAUCUGAGUGUAGACUGUGGGUGGAGUUAAUGCUCCAGCCACAGCGACGCUGGCUGAUAACGCGUUUUGUAGUUAAUUUGCUGUGAUGCUUAUUAAACUAACUAACCUUGCUGUGUGAGGACUGGUAGAGCCGGCAGCACAAGGACAGGUUUGCCG
rnacentral:lncRNA from 1 species